rnacentral:rRNA from 1 species
CAGUAGCCGCGGUAAAACCAGCACCUCGAGUGGUCAGGAGGUUUAUUGGGCCUAAAGCAUCCGUAGCCGGUUGCAUAAGUUUUCGGUUAAAUCUAUGCGCUUAACGUAUAGGCCGCCGAAAAUACUGUGCAGCUAGGGAGUGGGAGAGGUACACGGUACUCGAUAGGAAGGGGUAAAAUCCUUUGAUCUAUUGAUGACCACCUGUGGCGAAGGCGGUGUACCAGAACACGUUCGACGGUGAGGGAUGAAAGCUGGGGGAGCAAACCGGAUUAGAUACCCGCGUAGUCCCUGUCUCUUAUAC